ACCCUCACUCAAACAUAGAAGAAAGGGGGAAGCAAAAAGAAAAAGCGACGAACUACACCAGUGAUAGGUAAAAAACAAACUACAUCAAAAGCACAAGGGACCUUAUCUCGAUGGAAGAGAAAAUCCCUGUCGAAAAUCUCUGAUCUCUAAAGGCAAAUCGACAUGGCAACGGCCAAGAACCUUCAAACUGUGAUGGCAUCGAACA
rnacentral:lncRNA from 1 species